rnacentral:rRNA from 1 species
GAUGAACGCUGGCGGCGUGCCUAAUACAUGCAAGUCGAACGAAACUUCUUUAUCACCGAGUGCUUGCACUCACCGAUAAAGAGUUGAGUGGCGAACGGGUGAGUAACACGUGGGCAACCUGCCCAAAAGAGGGGGAUAACACUUGGAAACAGGUGCUAAUACCGCAUAACCAUAGUUACCGCAUGGUAACUAUGUAAAAGGUGGCUAUACUACCGCUUUUGGAUGGGCCCGCGGCGCAUUAGCUAGUUGGUAGGGUAAAGGCUUACCAAGGCAAUGAUGCGUAGCCGAAUUGAGAGGUUGAUCGGCCACAUUAGGACUGAGACACGGCCCAAACUCCUACGGGAGGCAGCAGUAGGGAAUCUUCCACAAUGGGCGAAAGCAUGAUGGAGCAACGCCGCGUGGGUGAAGAAGGUCUUCGGAUCGUAAAACCCUGUUGUUAGAGAAGAAAGUGCGUGAGAGUAACUGUUCACGUUUCGACGGUAUCUAACCAGAAAGCCACGGCUAACUACGU